GGGUGUAUGGCAACUAUUGGUAUGUUGCGGUUGUCUGUAAAACAACUGUCCCUGACUAUUGGAGGUUCGAUUCCUCUUGCGCCCA
rnacentral:tRNA from 1 species